rnacentral:rRNA from 1 species
UACGUAGGGACCGAGCGUUGUCCGGAUUCAUUGGGCGUAAAGAGCUCGUAGGCGGCUGCUCAAGUCGAAUGUGAAAACUCGAGGCUCAACCUCGAGCCUGCAUUCGAUACUGGGCGGCUAGAGUCUGGUAGGGGGAUCUGGAAUUCCUGGUGUAGCGGUGAAAUGCGCAGAUAUCAGGAGGAACACCGAUGGCGAAGGCAGCUCGCUGGGACGGUACUGACGCUGAGGCGCGAAAGCGUGGGGAGCAAACAGG